GGGUGGAUGCCCGAGUGGUUAAUGGGGGCGGACUGUAAAUCCGCUGACUAGCGUCUACGAUGGUUCAAAUCCAUCUCCUCCCA
rnacentral:tRNA from 1 species